UAUUUUUGUUAUUAUUAUUAUUAUUAUUGCUGCUACACAAGAAAUAGUAUAAUUAAACAUCUAUGUUGUGUUACAUGGCUAGAUUCUCAUCAAAGCAACACAGUAAAACAGAAACGACAGGGCGGAAGUGCGCCCUCUCGUGGCGACUGUGCUCCCCUCAUACAUUGAGCAAACUUAAUUGUGCCAGUUAACUUCCUUUUCAGUACUGACUAAAUUGAAAUGGUUACAAUAACAUCAAGUUGAUAUAUUAUCAUAUUGGACUAAUGUUGGACACUGCCUGCCUGUGUGAUGAUGUGAUUAUGAUAAAUCACCAGAACGCGUUAUGGAAGGGGCGCUGUUACCCUGCGCAUUAGCUAGCGAUUAUACCCUACGCAUAACCGUGUCCUCAUCAUAUGCUGAAAAAAACAGUUGAAAAAGACCUAAAUUAUCAAGUGCACGAGGCAGGAAGCGGCGUAAAGGAGAGGAGCAGAAAAAAAAGAGUAAUAUAGAGAUGAGGACUCGCUCAAGCUUCACAUGGUGCGGCUAGAACUGGAGGAUUUGGAGAAGCAGAGCCGCGGCCUACUCAACAAGCAGGCCCAGCUGCUGGAGCGACACCUGCAGGGACCGUGCACCUAGGACUUUCCCAGCCGUGGUCUCCGUCACGCCGCCGCCAACACACCUCAGGCCUUGGGUGAACCAGCGGCGGAAGGCAUGGGCUGGACCACAGGUGAGGAGCUCUCCACCUCCAGUGUUCGAGAUUCCAACCGGGAACCGCUUCGCCCCUCUCCGUCAGACCAGACCUAACGCUGUGAUGUUCGGGGACUCCAUUGUGCGGAACGUCCGUGUAGCCUCAUCUAAGGGUGAUGACUUUUGAUGAAAAGUGACUUUCUAGACAUAAAAUGUCACAAGUGUGUAAAGAGAUACAGGAUGAAUGGGAACUAGUUUUGUUAUUACACUUUUGAUGAAAAGUGAGUUUCUAGUCAUAAAAUGUCACUUUUUUCACCUUA